rnacentral:misc_RNA from 1 species
GGUCUUAGGGCUCCAUUUGUAUUUGGGUUUGGAUUUAGUAUUCUGGAACCGGUGGAAUUGUAUUGGUAGGGCCUUUUUUAAGGCCACUUUGGUGCCUUCAUGUAUUAGGUUGUUUAAGCCAUUUCUAUUAAUGAAUUUAAUUAUCUAUAAAAAAAAAAUACUAGACUUCAUUUGAAACACGUGUUUCAUAAUUGUUUCAACCUUCCAAAACAGCAGAUAUUUUAUUUU